UACGUAGGGGCCUAGCGUUGUCCGGAAUUAUUGGGCGUAAAGAGCUCGUAGGCGGUUCGGCAAGUCGGAUGUGAAAUCUCCACGCUUAACGUGGAGGGGCCAUUCGAAACUGCUGUGACUCGAGUCCGGUAGGGGAGUGUGGAAUUCCCGGUGUAGCGGUGAAAUGCGUAGAGAUCUGCAGGAACACCCAGGGGGAAACCAGUCGACUGGGCAUCUACUGACGCUGAGGUGCGAGAGCGUGGGGAGCGAACCGG
rnacentral:rRNA from 1 species